AAGAUAGAGGUUGCGUUUUUCAAGAGUAUUUUUUCGGAGGUAACAGGUACCGUUGAGGGAAGAAGAAAGGGGAACACGCCGAAAGAUAAGGUAUCCUGUAUAUUGUUAUCUUGGGCAUACGUUUAAGAAGCGUAUGACUGUCAUCUCGUAAGCAGAUGGGGCGCUAUCAA
rnacentral:ncRNA from 1 species